AGCUAGAGGUGUCAGAAAAG
rnacentral:snRNA from 1 species